AGCUUUCCGAAUCCGUGCUGAGAUUUCGUCAGACGUCAGCCCAUUAGGGCUGAUCAGACAUCCGAGAUAAGUGAAGUU
rfam:Schistosoma mattheei strain Denwood, Zambia genome assembly, scaffold: SMTD_scaffold0012449